rnacentral:snRNA from 1 species
GUGUUUGACUAAUAUUAACUCUAGGGUUAGAACUAUCUAGAGAAGAUUGGCAUGGCUUUUGCGCAAGAAUUUCACACAAAUCAAGAAAUGGUCCAAAUUUUU